GGGUUGUGAGGUUAAGCGACUAAGCGUACACGGUGGAUGCCCUGGCAGUCAGAGGCGAUGAAGGACGUGCUAAUCUGCGAUAAGCGCCGGUAAGGUGAUAUGAACCGUUAUAACCGGCGAUUUCCGAAUGGGGAAACCCAGUGUGACUCGUCACACUAUCAUUAACUGAAUCCAUAGGUUAAUGAGGCGAACCGGGGGAACUGAAACAUCUAAGUACCCCGAGGAAAAGAAAUCAACCGAGAUUCCCCCAGUAGCGGCGAGCGAACGGGGAGGAGCCCAGAGCCUGAAUCAGCAUGUGUGUUAGUGGAAGCGUCUGGAAAGGCGCGCGAUACAGGGUGACAGCCCCGUACACAAAAGCGCAUGUGCUGUGAGCUCGAUGAGUAGGGCGGGACACGUGGUAUCCUGUCUGAAUAUGGGGGGACCAUCCUCCAAGGCUAAAUACUCCUGACUGACCGAUAGUGAACCAGUACCGUGAGGGAAAGGCGAAAAGAACCCCGGCGAGGGGAGUGAAAAAGAACCUGAAACCGUGUACGUACAA
rnacentral:rRNA from 3 species